rnacentral:sRNA from 1 species
AGACCACGAGCUUCGUGCUCUGGAUGAAAACCAGCGACUGGCAAAGAAGAAAGCUGACCUUUAUGAUGAAGAAGAUGAACAGGAUAUAUUGCUGGCGCAAGAUUUGGAAGAUAUGUGGGAGCAGAAAUUUCUACAGUUCAAACUUGGAGCUCGCAUAACAGAAGCUGAUGAAAAGAAUGACCGAACAUCCCUGAACCGGAAGCUAGACAGGAACCUUGUCCUGUUAGUCAGAGAGAAGUUUGGAGACCAGGAUGUUUGGAUACUGCCCCAGGCAGAGUGGCAGCCUGGGGAGACCCUUCGAGGAACAGCUGAACGAACCCUGGCCACACUCUCAGGUGGGUUUUCUGCCUUCCUCUAAAUUCCACAAAAUUCACUUCAGACUCAGCCAGAGGAUUUUUAGGCUGACUGGGGAAUUGGAUUAAGGGUGGGGGUGGGAAGGUUAAUGGAAAUUUUGAAGUUUAUAAAAAUUUCAGCCAGAAAAACCCAGGUAAGGAUUUUUUAAAUUAUUUUUUUAUUUUUAUUUUUAGACCAGGUGAGAAUCCUUUGUUCCACUGAGAUUUUAAAAUUUAGUACAUUCAAAAUUGAUAUUUCUACCAUUUUCUCAGCCUGCUUGUCUUCUUAUCUUUGCAGCACUGCUUAUUGCCAUCACUGCUUAUCUGUUCACUCAACUUGAAACCUCAGAAUUGUCCUUGACCUCAUUCCCACAUCCAUAAGUCCUUGAGUCCCUCGUGAUCUGUUCUAAAUAGUCCCCUCUUUGUUCUAACAGCUUUAGCUGUGACCCUCUUCACUUCUCACUAGACUAGGGUUUCCCAUCUCUGGCAUUAUUGGUGUUUGGGGUCGGAUAAGUGUGGGGAGCUAUUCUUUGUGUUAUGGGAUGUUUAGCAGUAUCUCUGGCCUCUACCUACUAGAUGCCAGUAGCACUACCUCAUCCCCUGACCCCACCCCCAGUUCAGUAACCAAAAAUAUCUCUAGACAUGGCCAGAUAUUACCCAGGGAGCAAAUUACAGUGGUUGAGAAGUACUAUACUGAGCUAUUGAAUUAGAUGCCCAGUAAGUUUAACCUUGGUUUUGUGGAGUGCCCUUCAGUGCUGCCAAAAUGAGCAUUCUGAAACACACAUCCCUUGUCACUUCUCUGCAUGGAAUUCUUAAAAGGUUUCCAAUAAAAAUUCUAACUGUCAAGCAUGGCCUGCAAAUCUUAUUUGCCCUGAUCCCAGUCUCAUCAGUCUGCCGUCUUGCUGUUCAUUAAUGUAAAAUUCAAGUUCUAACUUAACAAACCUUUUGCAUUCCUUGAAUAAUAUGGUCUUUCAUGUGUCUCUGCUUUGGGGCCUGCUGGUCCCUGAUGAAAUACUUUACUCCUUCCUGGCCUGACUGCUCAGUUUUUAAGACAGUUUAUACAUUAUACCUUAUGUGGUGAAACCUUUCCUGAGCCUUCAGGAAGACAGAGCUACUCCUCUCUCUAGGCUCCCAUAGCACUGGUGUGUGUCCUUAUUCCAUUUAUGCAACAGACAUAUAGAGUCUCAGUGAUGAACAGGACACUACCCUACUCCCUAGGAGCUUGUGUUCUAGUGGAGAAUACAUUCUUUUACUUAUGCCAUUGCACUAUAAUUGUUUACUAACGCAUUUUUCUCCCUAGUCAGAAUUUUGACUUCCUUAAACAUAUAGGCAGUAUCUGUUCCUCUCUCUGAUCCUAGCUUUCAGCAAAGUACCUGGCACAUAGGCAUUUGUUGAAUGUUGACUAAAUGGAUUUGGUGGUGCACAGCCACUUUACCUGCCCUCCCAUCAGCACAAGUACCUGCUAACGAAAUGUUGGUAGCCAGUGUGUGUCUCCUUGACUCUCCCAAGGGGCCUGUGUGGCCUGCAGGAGAGACAUCAAGACAGAAUGGAAUAUGGUAGGAGAGGAGGUUGCUGCUUUCUCAGUCUCCUCAGCCAUCACAUAGGAGUCAGCAGCUGAGUUUCUUGCGAGGAUCAUUGUGUCCAGAUGCUCAACCUCUCUUAACGUCAAACAUUCACAACUGAUCCUUGCUCAGCUCCCCUUUCUGUUUGCAGUGAGGAAAGGGGUUCUACCCAAGCACUAUGCUUUCCUUUAAACAUUGCCAUUGUAAUAAGUAAAUGUAAAAGGAAAUAUAUCAAAUAUAUUAAAACACACAUUUAUGUUUAAUAGAUGCAUAUAAAAUAGUGUAUUGACUUAUUACAAAUUUACUAAACUGACAAAUAAUAUACAAUGGCAAAGAAAAACUCAAGCAAUGUAAGAGUAUAUACUGUAUAUUUAAAAGUGAAAGUGCGCUCCUUUCCUCCCCUCUGGCUCCACACUGCCAGUAUUUCUGCAAGAUGGAAUUUCUAGCGGUAGAAUUAAUGGGUCAAAGAUGUGCAGACUUCAGUUUUUGGUAAGUGCAGCCCAGUUGCCCUCCAGAAUGUAUAUAACAAUUGACGUUUUCCAGGAGUGGUGUCUGAGAGUGCCUCUUUGUCUAAACCUCACUGACACAUGAAAUAGUUGCUUUUAAAAUUUUGCUCGUCUAGUGAGUCAGAUGAUCUCUUUCAGAUUAGCAUUUUCCUGUUUGCUAGUGAGAUUCAGUAUCUUCAUGUGUUUAUUGGCUGUUUGUACUUCUUCUUUUGUGAACUGCCUAUUUAGAUCGUUCGCUCAUCUUUGUAAUAAGCUGUUUUUUCUUUUUAAUUUGUUUAUAUUUUUAAUCCAUCUUUUCCAGAUUAUAGAAAAGUAACAUGCAUUUAUGGGAUUAAGUUUAGAAAAUUCAGGAAAGUGUAAAGAAAUAUGCCAAUACAAUUCCACCACUCACAGAUACCCACUGCUAACGUUUUUUACUUUAUGUGAGCUCACACUAUAAAUUUUUCAUCUAAUGCUAGUAGUGUUUUUUUUUUUUUAGUAUGAGAAAAGCCAUUCACGUAUGUGGUAAAAAAAUUAUCGGUGUCUAGUAAAUGUAGUGUAAGAUGUAAUUUUCCUUUUUCAGAAGCAACCUCUAUUAAUAGUGUUUUUCUGUAUCUCUUCAGAAAUUCUCUAUGCAUAUACAGAUGCAUAAAUGUUUUGUUUUCUUUUUUUGCAUAUAACGGGAACAUAUUUAUACACUGUUAUGUGCCUUCCUUUUUUCUCAUAUAUGCUUUUAAACAUCUUUUCAGGUCAGCCUAUUAGGACCUAUCUUAAGCUUUUUUUAACACCAGCAUACUAUUUUAUAAUAUGUAUGUACUGCAGUUUGUUUAGCCAGUCUGUUUUUACAAACAAAGCUGCAGUGAAUAUCCUUGUAUGCUCAUAUUUGCUCACAUGGGCAAAUUAGUAUAUCUGGUAGGAUAAAAGUCUAGAACUGGAGUUGCUAGGUCAAAGGGCAUGUGCAAUUAAGUUGACACCUCUUGCCAAUUAAUAGCACUUAUACUAAUUUAUAACCCCUCCAAAAUAUGUGUGAAAGUACAGGUUUUUUCCUUAUCCUUCAUAAGCAGUGUACAGUUAAGUUUUUGAACUUCAAUAAUGAUAUAUGUUGUUGUUUAACUUUAUUUCUUUAAAUUAUUAAUAAGAUUGAACACCUUUUAAUGUAUUUAUGGGCCAGUGAUAUUUAUUUUCAUGUGAGCUUAACUGUUCAUGUGCUUGGUUCAUUUUUCUUUUUAAUUUGUUGUUUUUUUUCUCAUUGAUUUUUUUUCUUUUAGAGAUGGAAUCUUGCUGUGUUGUCCAGGCUGGCCUUAAACUCCUAUUCUCAAGCAGUACUCCUGCCUCAGCUUCCUGAGUAUCUGCAUUGAUUUUUAAGUGCUUCUUAUACCUUAAGAUAUUCCUUUGUUGAAUGUGUUGAAAAUAUUUUUCCUAGUUUGUCAUUUUCUCUUUGACUUUUUUUGUGCUUCAUUUUUCCUUGCAGAAAGAUUUAAUUUUUAUGUAGACAAAUAUAAAUCUUCUGUUUUUUGGGCUUAAAAAUUUUGUUUCUUGCUUAGAAAGGCCUUGCCCUCUCAAAUAAUAUCUUAAGGUUUAAGAAAGCAUCCUGCAUUUUCUUCUAAUGCUCAUAUGUUUUUAUUGUAAUUAGAAAAUACGCCCCACACUUUGGGAGGCCGAGGCAGGCGGAUCACUUGAGGCCACAAGUUCAAGACCAGCCUGACCAACAUGGCAAAACCCUGUCUGUACUAAAAGUACAGAAAAAAAAUUAGCUGAGUGUGGUGGCACAUGCCUGUAAUCCCAGCUACUCAGGAGGCUGAGGCAUGAGAAUCCUUUGAACCCAGGAGCCUGAGGUUGUAGUGAACCAAGAUUGCACGACUGCACUCCAGCCUGGGUGACAAAGCGAGACUCUGUCUUGGGAAAAAAAAAUACAGAGAAGAUUGGAAAAUAUUAAAUGUCCAUGAAACAACCAUCCAGAAUGAAUAAAUUUUUUAUGAAAAGUUAAAAUGUCUAUUGUUAAAUCUUUGAUCUAUAUGGUAUCAAUUUUAUUGUGAGGACUGAGUAUGGAAUCCAGCUUGGUUUUUCCCAUCUGGCUAAUCAGUUCUUCAGAUGCCGUUUAGUAAUUAGUCCAUCAUUUCCCCAUCAUUUGAAAUGCUGGAUUGGGGUUAUUAACCCUUAGUUAUAGAUUACAGAUACUGUCUACUCAUCUGUUUUUGUCUUUAACUUUGUUUAUGCCUUUUUUCACUUGGUAGGAGUUAAAACUGGGGUCCUUUUUAAUGCUUUCCAGGUGACACCCGUUUUAAAGGUGGAUGAACUUUGUUUUACAGACCAAAUGUCCUGGUCCUUCACCAGCAGAUAGCGACUGGGCUGAUUCGCCAACAGUUAGCAACUGGGCUGAUUCGCCAGCAGAUAGGGACUGGGCUGAUUUGCCAGCAGAUAGCGACUGGGCUGAUUGGCCAGCACAUAGCGACUGGGCUGAAUGUAGGAACUAGGUGCUCUGACUCCCAGGUGUGAUUGUAACUGUGUUGCUGACUUUCAGUCUAAAAACAGUAGCUUGGCACAUGGGAGUGAGCCCGGUGAAUCUGGGCUCCAUGGGCCAGGAGGCAUUUGGAUUGAGAGGGGAGGAGGCUCUGUUCAGGAAUGGCUCUAGUCCUAUUCCUAGGGAUUGAUUUUACCUCAGGGCCAGAUCUUGCAGAGACCCCCUAUAAUUUUGGGAGCCAGAGUAAACAGAUGGCUGUAGCCUUACCUUCCAAUUGUGAUUUUUCUUUCCUCCCUCUUCAGAAAACAGCAUGGAAGCCAAGUUCCUAGGAAAUGCACCCUGUGGGCACUACACAUUCAAGUUCCCCCAGGCAGUGCGGACAGAGAGUAACCUCGGAGCCAAGGUGUUCUUCUUCAAAGCACUGCUAUUAACUGGAGACUUUUCCCAGGCUGGGAAUAAGGGCCAUCAUGUGUGGGUCACUAAAGAUGAGCUGGGUGACUAUUUGAAACCAAAAUACCUGGCCCAAGUUAGGAGGUUUCUUUCGGACCUCUGAUGGGCCGAGCUGCCUGUGGACGGUGCUCAGACAAGUCUGGGAUUAGAGCCUCAAGGACAUUGUGUGAUUGCCUCACACUUGCAGGUAAUAUCAAGCAGCAAACUAAAUUCUGAGAAAUAAACGAGUCUAUUACUGU